UGGGGAAUUUUGCGCAAUGGGCGAAAGCCUGACGCAGCAACGCCGCGUGGGUGAUGAAGGUCUUCGGAUUGUAAAACCCUGUCGUCGGGGACGAAGGUGGCUUAGUUAAUAGCUGAGUCGCUUGACGGUACCCGGAGAGGAAGCCCCGGCUAACUCUGUGCCAGCAGCCGCGGUAAUACAGAGGGGGCAAGCGUUAUUCGGAAUUAUUGGGCGUAAAGGGCGCGUAGGCGGCUUUUUAAGUCAGAUGUGUAAUCCCCGAGCUCAACUUGGGAACUGCAUCUGAGACUGGGAGGCUAGAGUGCUGGAGAGGGUGGUGGAAUUCCUCGUGUAGCGGUGAAAUGCGUAGAGAUGAGGAGGAACACCAGUGGCGAAGGCGGCCACCUGGACAGUAACUGACGCUGAGGCGCGAAAGUGUGGGUAGCAAACAGGAUUAGAUACCCCCGUAGUCC
rnacentral:rRNA from 1 species